GCUUCCUCAACUUAUCUCAACUUCCAGCGCGCCGGAGGAUGAGCAGAAGACGGAGUCGUUGCGGGCCGGCGAGCAGGUACUUAUCUCAACUUCCAGCGCGCCGCCACCACCUGCCGCUCCGCUGCGUGCCGCCACCACCGCCUCGCGCGCCGCCCUGGUCGCCGCCGCCGGCCUUGCGUCGCCUCAACGCCCGACCCCCGAGUCUCGCAGGCCCGCCACACACCUGCUCUCUUCCAACAAUUCCGUGCAUCCCGGCUCGAUUACUUCAGGGAGGAGGAGGAUGACGACGAGGCAGAGCUCCUGGACACGGUCACACGGCCGCCUGUCCCGGGAAGGUCUGCAGCAACGGUGGCCUCUGGUGCACGCGGAUGUCUGUGGAGGCGGAAAUUUAAUUCGACCUCACCUCGGGCUGCCGGCCUCCCCAAGUUCCUGCUGCCGGCGCCCUCCCGAAGCUCCUGCCGGCCUCCUCCCCGAGCCCCAAGCACGAACAAGGAAACCUUGACACACGCUUGCGUCCAGUAGCUCGAUCUGCUGGUGCUAGGAGGGGAUUACCAUUGGAGCUGCAGCAGGUGUUGAGCACUCAUAGUUUCAGAUCUUCCUGACAUCAAUAUGCCGCCGCGACCUUGACGGGCUGGGGCUCAAUGACGACACGCUCUGCCUUUUGGUGCACCUCUUUGCUGUGUUCGACAACCAAGGCGCGGCAAGUUACUCCGGGACUGAUAGAAUCACCACAAAUUGAGAUGAGGCAUUCAAUCGGGAUGGACACACUGACACUCGAGCAGUAGGAUCCCUUGAACUGAAGAAACGAAUACGAACUUAGGAAGAUACAUGCAAUUUAAGGUAGGCGCACACUAACGUCUCAGUAUCAGCACCAUAAUUUGUGUGUGUGUGUAUGAAUUUUUUAGUUUGUCUCAUGAUUGAUGCAUUCACCUUAGUACAGUAUAUCUUCUGUUUCAUGUGUUUUCUGUGUAAAAGUUUGGUCCCGAUGACCAAUAAGCGAAGAACAACCUUCUCCAACUGACAGUGUUAUUCUCCUAAACAAUUUGCCAUUUUGGUAUUUGGAUGGGGAAUAAAGAAGAACAUUCAUCAUUAGUACUUGAAGAGACUUGCCUGGUUGGGGCAGAACAGGAUCUGCUAUAGUGCAUGUUACUUGACUGCUCACUGUACGACUUAAAUAAAAUCAAGACGUAGCGCAUGGCAGGGAGAUGAAGUGUUGAGAAAAAGGACGACGAUGUAAAGGGCAGAUGAUAGAGGAUUACUCAAUAAGUAUGCGGAGCUGCUAUAAAGUUUCCUCCUUUCUGUAUAGUUAUUUCACUAUCCACCUAAAUGUCAUCCCAUGUAUAUGUAGGAAACUAAUUUUGUGUUGCUAAAUUUUCUGUAUAUAUUUAAUAUUAUUCAGUGUUAAACUAAUAAUGAUCGAAACAAUGCUAGACUUACAUGUUGAUUCAUCAUUUGUAGACUUUUGGUUACAACAGAUAGAUAUGAGCAGUUUAGCACUAUUCUUACUUAUAUAUCAAAAUAUAUUAUGAUCAGCAGGCUAAAUCUACCACACGGGUCGUUAGCUCUGUUACCGUAACAUUGCACCAUCCUAACACGUGAGGAAAAUAAUUUCACAAGAUUCUCAUAUUAAGUAUCUAUUCAAAGAGGUAUGUGACAAUGUCUAUGUGCGGGAAGGAGAAAUUCACUCGGUAACAACUCCGAUGCUACGGCUUGCAUGCUGAGAGUUGAGACCUGCUGAGCUUACUCGUACUAUUGUGUGAUGUGUUAACUUACUUUUGUAGUUUCUAUAUGCCAACAUAUAUCAUGCUAUUUUAUGGUUAGUAGUAUUUCAACAUAAUUUUUCUAUUCAUGCAUUGAAGCAAAACUGCAGUUAGUUGCUACAGAGCUAGGAGAUCUUGGUGUAUAAUAAAAUAUAUUAAUAUGGAGGGGUUCCUUUGUCACCUGAUUUGAUAAGGUAUAUAGUACGGAAGUUUUUUUAUUUCAUAAUCAUAUUCUUGAUGUACUGUUUAAUGUAUUUUCUUUUCAGAGAUUUGCCCUUCAAAUUUUCUUGUGAUAGCUAAUUGCCUUUCUGUAAAACUCUUUGUGCGGAUUAGUUGAUAUGAUCAAUGGUCAAACUGUUUGAGUUUCAAAAUCAUUUUAACAUUUCAAAUUUGGGGGUUGUAUAUAUACAACCGGAUAUCAUGUGUAUCAUGCAUAGCGAUCUACUUUGUUCUGUCUGUUAGCAUUAAUUAAUGUCUACUUCUUGAUUAUAUUUGAUAUACUUCAGAUGGUGAGCAUGAUUGUGGGGAUGGUGCGUAUGAGGAUUUUUUUUCCCUUCUCCCAUUGGAACACACAGGUAUAUUUGGGUUUAUAAUAUGGGUUGUUGCCCCAGUUGCUUUUGCUUGGCGAUAAUGGCAAUGCAGUUAUCACCAUGUUUGCACCGUUCUUCACAUGGACAUCCCUACGCUCCUUAUGUUACUGGUCACCAUCACUGUUGAUUAUUUCUCCUUCUAUUCUUUUAUCCAAUAGGUAUUCUCUUACUACAUAUAAAUUUGGAGGACAAAGCAUUUAUUCUGUUGAUAUAUUAAACCCCAAAUUGCUGAGAUGUAACGUCUUCUAUCUGAAUUUGUUUCAUAAAAUUAAUCAUUGGUUUAGUUUGAUAGAUUAAACCCAAAUUAGUUUAUGGACUGAACUAGAAAUAACACAAUCACAUAUUAGUUUUCUUUUUAAAUUUCAUAGUAGAGAUUUAGCCGUCGAUGACCCACUACACGUGGAUGCCACAUCCUUUCUUCCUCACCUAUCGCGCGAAUUUUCAAUGCCGGUCCACUGCGAUCAGGGUACUUGAGGCAGAUAGCUAUAUUCAGCGCAAGUUAUUGAUAUAUUUCUUCAACUACCUCUCAUUUACUGCAUGUUGAUUUUCUCAUGAACUGCUUGCUGCAAAUAUAGGGAGGAGUGGGAGUGCUGUCUUCAUGAAAUUGAGUAUCUCAGAAGAAUUUGGUUUGGCACUUAUUUUCCUCAACCUGUUAUUCUUCAAAUGUGCUUCCCAUGGAUUUGAUAAAUUUGGUGAGAUAAUGUUAUGUGUCAGGUAUGGCCAUAAGAUACUCAUGAAACUUAUUUUAUUUUGCCUCACACAAGAUGUAUGUUGUUUAGACUCAUGUACUGCCAGUACUGGUAGAUCGAUGAUCUAAGGAUCAUAUGAAUGAUUAAUGGAGGAUAAUUCAUAUUCAGUUCUCCUCUCAAUUUUUGUGGUGCCAAGCUUGAUCUUUAUCCAUCUAACUGACUGAAAGUGCCUUCUAAUCACUAUUGAACGCAUAUGUUAGUUAGUUUGACUGUAUACACCACACAAAAAGUAAAAAAUGAAUUCUAGAAAAAAUUAGACACAAAUACUACAGAACCAGUGGACCCUCGAGAAACAAAAGGCACACCUAAAGGAUUUUUUUCUUAACAAAAUGUAUUAAUUUGACUAUUUGAGUAUAAAAAAUGUGCAAUCGCAAUCUUGCUUUUUCAAGGAAAACAGGGGACUGCUACAUACUCGAUAUGGAUCGAGGCUAAUUAUUGAUCUUCCAAGUUAAAAAAUCUGAAAAUAACUUUCAUUUAGUAAUGGAUACAUAGUCAAGAAAGGAUGCCUUUCCCGAAAGAUACAAAACAAAAUCGUGUUCGUGUAUGUCCGGCUGACAGAUGAAUCGAUCUCCUUUCAAGUAUCAACCCAGCAACCUUCGUGUACGUACAUGUGUGCAUCAAGGAUGCACGGGUCCAUUGGCCUGCGUACCACACAUCCCUUCACUAAUUCCAUCAGUAUCAUUCUUAACAAGGUAAGUAUGAUUCCCUAAUCCCUGAUUUUAUUAAUUGAUCUUUGAUGCUUCAUCCCUAAUGUCGUUAUACCUUAUUGAUUCUAUAAAAGAUCUCAAACAGGAACAUACCAUUUUUGAGGCUACGAUUCCUAUAACUUGCCUUGUCAAUUUGAUAAAAUUACAUGUGUAAUGGAGGUUGUAACUUAUUACGGUUUACAUUGUCAGAAUGAUAUCUGUGUCAUCUCUGAACAUAUGUAUAUAUUUGGUGUGCCGGAUUUUCUGAUGUAGAUGCUAUAUAAGAGGAAGCUAUUCGACAAUCCUGCUCAAGUUGGUACGGAUCAGAUCGAUUUUAUUCAGUAAAUAUUUAUGCUUGAUAGAUACAAGCCUCCCUCUUCUGUCCUUCUUUUCUCCAUCCUCUACAGGUCGCCAGCACAUGUGAAUCGUUCUCGUCAAGAGCAUGCUUGUGACAUCAUUACUAUAUGUGAUGCAGGGCAAAAGGAUGCUGUCAGAAUGUAAAAGCACAUUUAACCAUUUCCUGUUUUUUUCCUUGCCUGUUUUCGCCGUCGUAUACACUGCAUCUCCCACUGUAACGGACAGCCAAAUUUGUAUUCUUGAAAGUUUUAAUCAUUUCUAUUGCAACUAAGUGUUCAAGUGCAAUCUCUAGCCAAGUUCUCUUUGUUGUUGUGUUGAAUUUUGAGGAAAGGCGGCCAAGCAGCUCGUGGCAUCUGUGUCACGCCUGCUCUGCCGCUGCCUUGACCCGCCGACGACGUCGCCGGUUGAGCCGCAAGGGUGCAAGAUCAUCGUGGGGCCCAUUGCAUGGGCUCCGAGUAUGCUUGAUUGCCAUGUCGGAGGCGAAGGUGCUAGAGCUUGGUGGCGUGUUUGCAUUUCUGGAUGCAUGAAUAAUUGUCAAGGAGGCCGAAGCCAGCGCUAUUACAGUUGGACUGAAGGAAUUGUAUAACGUAUUCUGAGGCUCCUUGGUGGUGGAGAUCGACUACGCAGUGGGGAAAUGAGCUAGGGGCUGAUUUUGUAAGCAGAUCAUUGUCCUACCCAAUUACUGUUGAUAUUAAAUCUGCGCUGAGUAAUUUUUAGGCAUUAUCACAUCAGAACUGUCAAGAGGGACAAACAAUGGGCUGGCUCAUGAACUAGCCAAUGAUGCUAAAGCUCAUGGAGACCUUGUGGUUGCGUAUGGUGUCCCGGACCAACUCCAUGAUCAGCUCUGGAAGGAAAACAAUGCAGCCUUGACGUCGGCCUAAGUCUUGA